UACAGAGGGGGCAAGCGUUGUUCGGAAUUACUGGGCGUAAAGGGCGCGUAGGUGGCCUUCUAAGUUGAACGUGAAAUCCCUGGGCUCAACCCAGGAACUGCGUCCAAGACUGGGAGGCUUGAAUCCGGGAGAGGGAUGGCGGAAUUCCAGGUGUAGCGGUGAAAUGCGUAGAUAUCUGGAGGAACACCGGUGGCGAAGGCGGCAUCCUGGACCGGUAUUGACACUGAGGCGCGAAGCCAGGGAGCAAACGGG
rnacentral:rRNA from 1 species